UACGGAGGGUGCUAGCGUUGUUCGGAUUUACUGGGCGUAAAGGGCGCGUAGGCGGCCCUGUCAGUCGGGUGUGAAAGCCCGGGGCUCAACCCCGGAACGGCACCCGAGACGGCAGGGCUGGAGACCGGGAGAGGAGGGUGGAAUAGCCAGUGUAGAGGUGAAAUUCGUAGAUAUUGGCUGGAACACCGGUGGCGAAAGCGGCUCUCUGGCCCGGUUCUGACGCUGAGGCGCGAAAGCGUGGGGAGCAAACAGG
rnacentral:rRNA from 1 species